GACUGCAGCACAUUCCUAUGCAGCGAGACACAGUGUAAACCUUAGCCUCCAUCUCAACCAUCGCAUAUGACUCACGGAGGCCUUUUAUUCCUCUGAGAUGCACACAGCUGAGGGGAGUGGAAAGAGGCCAGGCUGCCGGCUGCAGUGCAGGGCUGAAAGCAGGGGGAAAACAGCGAGGGGUUGUGAGUGACCACAUCUGUCCAGGAGGAACAGAAAGACACCAAACUGCUAGAAACCAAACAGACUGCAGGAAGGUGAACUGCAAAAAUGUUACUGUGAGGAGGAUCCUAACAAGGAGCCUUGUGUCCUGCUGCGUGCUUUAAUGCUGCAGCCUGCAAGCAAGGAGUGUGUGGUGCAGCGACCGAAAGGCAGCGAGCGCCAGGGAGGAGCUGGAGAUGGCAACCAAAAAGAUCAGAGUGCUGCCCAACCAGCGCGGGUUCUGACACAGCCCUGAGGGAACUGAGCAGCCAAAGGCGUCGGUGGAUGGCAAAAGCUGUUGAACCCCAGAAACGGGCUGGGAUUGAGACCAGGGUAAGCUGAUCAAGGGGAGCAACCAGAGGGCUGGGGAGGUGCGAGGGGGUGAGGACAAAUGAUGUUUCUCCUCCAGAAGCCCAAGGAGGGAAAUAGGAGAGAGAGGAGCAAAGCCCGGUGAAGCAGAGAUGGAGCAGUGAGGGCUGACAAGUGCUCAGCCUGACAGAGGCCAGAGCCCCGCGGGCUGAGCUGAAACAAAGGGGUGUUUUCCUGCAGGGCGGGUCGCGGCCGUGCCAAAGCUGGCUCUGCACCAGGCUCCAUCCCACAGCUCUGAAGUGGGUCCCUGGAUCAGAGUCAGCUCCUUGGACGCCUGGAAAAUAUUCCCCGUGCUGUGCAGAGCUCUGGCUUUGGCUGUGAUGUUGGCUGCAGUUGGUGCCCCCCCCAACUCCACCACACAGCUCAUGACCCCCCGGGCACUUCAGGCACUGCUGUUCAACACACGAUAAAUCAGGUUUGCAGCCGGUGGCAGUGAGUGCAGCAGCAGUGACCGUUGGGCACCAGCACGUGGCUACAGCAGUGGGGACACCAUUUUAGGCAAUGUGUGAGCACCACGUUGGAUUCCGGGCUCCUGGCAUUUAAGUCCUCCGUUGGUGACCCUGGGCUAGCGCCGUGCGGGGAGCCAACACUGGGGCACAGGGAUCCGGUGGAGGGGCUCAUUGAGGAAAACACAUUUUCAAGCAUCAGGUUAUGGCAGGGUGAACAAGGAAGGAGCACACAGGAGCUGGGAGCAUCCGUGUGUCUGAGAUGGAGGUGGUCGCCCCUCUUCCACCAGGGCCCUGCCUGGCCGUGUGAAGGAUGCUGCUCCAUUCUGCUACCUCACGGUGCUCAGGGAAUGGCCCUGCAGCUCCCCGGCACAGCCAGGCACCUGCCUUCACCUUUCCUCUGUGGAGGCUGGAGAUGAAAUGACAAAAUGACACUUCCAAGAGCACACGCUGUUUGGUUUAGGGGAACAUUAAGCAGAUUAGGUAUUGCAGUUGCUUAAUUCGCCUCCGGCCAGGAACCAUAAAAGGUUAUUGCUGCAGGGAGCAGCUCCACCAGAGGAAUUCCCAGGGUAGAGCUGGGGACGAAGUGUUGCACACGAGUGGGGCUGUGCUGUGCUGGGCUUUGCAGAACAUGGAGAUGUUGGGCUUCUGCCUGGGGAGGAAGGAAGUGGCGGUCGGCGCCCCCGGCACGCAGCGGUCUGAGGCUGUCCUGGGGUGUUUGGCGCUACUGGGAUGGUGGGACCCACCAGCCGAGUCCAGAAGGAAGAAGAAAGCAGAACAAAGCUGGGCAUUUCCCAGCAACUGGGGACAGAGGCCAUUGGUAAGCUCUGAAGGUAUCACACAUAGGAACGAAGCAGCAUUCAGUCCCCCUGGCUCUGCCCUGCUGGCCCAGCACAGCCCUGCGGGAUGACCAGAACCAGAGGGGCAAUUAACUGCAAAGAAGUGCUGAGCUCACUGUGCCAAAAUCGGAUAAAGCGCAGCACUUUGCCCGCGCCGGGCCCCAGCUCAUCGCGUGCUGGCAGCAGUGGGAUUGGCUCAUGCGACGGGGCUGAAGGAGGGGAGAAGAUAAGCUGUCCAAUGCUGCAGCACGCUGCACGGCAAGCGGCCUUAUCACUGCCUUUGGGACCUGGUGCUCCGGGCACACGGGGCCAAGUGAGCGGGGAGGCAGCUGGGGGGGCUCUGCAUGGCUGAGACGGGUUUGCAGCCCCCGAUACCCCCCAGGCCGUGGUACUGCCCACGCACUGAGCUCAGGACAGCCGUGCGCUGGGGAUGCUCCACAGAGCGGUCGGUGCGUGGGGGCACUGAGGCUGAUGUAUUUUGCACAGGGAGCCCGGCUGAGGCUUUGCAGUGAGCCCAGCAUGGUGUGGGGUGCCCCAGUGCAGGGCUGGGGGCUGCUCCUGCUCCAAACCAGGCAGCUCAGACCACGUUCUUCUGCACAUCCACAGAGGGAGAGGAGAGUGAGGGGGAGAAAAGCACUGCUGUGUAUCACAAGCUCUAAUGUCACACAGAUAACCGUACCCAAAAGUGUUGGGUCCAGGGCAGAGUUUGCAGUAAGAACGGCAGCGUCCAGCUCCUCUUUGGACCAUGGAUGUCUCCUGUCCCGGGGUUCUCCCUUCUCCCUUUCCAAGCUGCAGCACUGUGCAGCAAUGAGACCAGCUCACGCAACCGCUGGAUUUCCCACCCCACGAGCCGCCACGGCCUGGCCCAAGCCCUGGACACGGGGCUCGGUUCCUCAGCCUGCUCCAAGGCCGAAGGAACGUUUUGCCCAGCAUCUCCUGGGACGCCGAACUCGGAGCACACAGCUCGAGGCUCAGCCCCCGGCCGGCAGCACGCAGACAGCUGCCUGCAGGCUGUGGGACCUCCGGCUCGCUGGCAGCAGCAAAACGUAUUUAUUACAAAACCAGAAGACUGAUAUUUAACCCAUUAGCCAGCGCAUAAAGGCAUCGACGUGCCUUGAGAAGGCAGUGGAAGGAUCGGCAGAGACUGACACGUAAGCAGCGUCCCCGCAGAGAGCAGCAUUGAGCACCGGCGAUGGGGGGACCCCGAGCUCCCCGCUGUCCCCUCUGCCCCCCCGGCUCAGCCCUCGCUCCCCCCACACGCGCCAUUACCUCGCUUAAAGGACCACCGCUUCUUCCAGCGCUUGGAGAACGACGGCCAGGAGUGGUUGAGCAAUGAGUCCGACAUUGGGGCACCCCCUGAGCCCCGCGCAGGGACAGCCCUGAGCCGGAGAGGACGGCGCAGAGCACAGCGGAGCUCGGUGCGGUUUAAGGCAGCGCUGCAAGCUGCAGCCCAGGGGCUGCCAAGGGGGGAGUGGAGCAGCCAAGUGUUUUGUCAGAAGUAUCAGCUGAUGGGAGCUGCAGCCAGAGAGAAAUUCCUGCUCUCCGGCGUUCCCACCUGUGUGACAGCUCCGGGACUUCCUGCGGCGGGGGCUGAGGAUUGGUGACCCCACGGCACACACAGCCCCGGAGCGCUGGGUUGGCUGAUGGAUGCAGGUGGAAGCAGAACACGCGCACCCAAACCUGCCCUGAGCUCCCUGCUCCAUCCCCUGUUAUCUGGGACCACCCUGGGGUCAGUGGGAGCCAUCUCCACACUGCCCCCAGACACCAAAUUCCUCACCCUGCCAUGUCUGAGCCCCAUUGCCAUCAGCUCCCCCAGCACAGACCGGCUCCAGGCUCUGCUCCCAACCCCUCACUGUGCUGACAGAGCCCAGUUUCACCCUUGUGCUGCUGCUGGCCCUCAGGAUGCUCCUGUUGCGCAGAUUGCAGCCGUGCGAGGCAGAGCCUCUGGGGCCUACUCUGGGAUGGUGUCACACAGGGGCGGAUGGCAAAGAGCAUUUCCUCACCUGGCUGCAAACUCCAAAGCAUCGCCUCCCACGCAGCCUCAGCAGGGAUCCACCCAUCACUCGGGGGCGCAGCCGUAGGGGCUCAGAGCCCAGUGCUGCCCGAAGGGAACCGGGAGGACACCCUAUGGGUUAAACCCCAACCUCCCAGCGCUGGGGUGAAGCUGCUUCCGCACAGAGCCUCCAGGAAGCCGAGCAACAACCCUGAGAUGGAGCUCACACAACACACCUCCGAGGGCAGCAACUCACCCGGAGGGCCGCGGGCAUCUCCAGCAGUGUCCCCGCGCAGCACAGCCGCUCCCCGCAGCCCGGAUCCUGCAGGUGCACCACGAGCAGCAGCCCCUCAUUGAGGAAGGAAGAUCCACACCGCCGGGCGGCUCGCGGGGGCCUCGGGCUGCACCACUUCACCGCUUCCCCUUUCCGAAGGCGCAAACAAAACCGCCGCGCCCAUACGGCUGUUCCUUCGAUGGUGCCCUAUGGCAGGGGAUGGGGCCCUGGGGGUCCGGCCACCCCUCCCGGGGGCUGCGCACCCCCAAACCGCCCACUGCGGGGUCCUGGGAGCUGCUGAGCGGUGCUGGGCACGGUGGCUGCGGGUGCUGCAAACGGCUUCCUGUUCCGUUCGGAGAAAAAGUGCUCUGCGUGCAGCGUGAGAGCGCAGCACACACGGGCUGUGCCCACGGCUCCUCGCACCGUGUGCUCCCAGGGCUGUGCGCUGGCAGAACCCCGGCCCAGCAGGCCCUGACCCGGCACUGAAGCAAUGGGAAGGAACCAAAGCACAGAGACGAUGGUGGCGGCGUUCGCUCCGUCCCACUGAGCCCCACGCGCACGCUGGCCUCAGCCAAGCCCUAAUCAGAACAAGAUCAACUCACACUCCAAUUACUCAGAGACCGCAGCUUUGGCAACGCUUGGGAUAGCAAUUACCCCGUGCUCCAGGAAACCACAAGAGCGAAGAGGAAUUAAGGUUUCAUUUCUCCGAAGUUCACAAGAGCACAAUGAGUGUCGCAUCAGGGCUGCUCCGAUGGGACGGUGCGGUGACCCCACACCGAGUGAGGAUCGGAGUUCAUCCCCUCCAUCCCCGGUGGUGGAUGUGGUUUGGGGCUGAGUGAAGCGGUGCACCUGGAGGAGCGAUGAGGGACAGGGACGGACAUCAGCGCCCGCCCGCAUCGCUGCCUGCAGACCUCUGCGACAGCAAAGUCACGCUUUGUUUGCAUCCUCAGAGAGCAAAGCUGUGCCCGGAGAUGCAGUUCCCAAACAUUUUCAAGUAUGCUUCUUUCUCGUUGCUCUUCCAGUGACAGAACUCCAGAUGGGCUCAGCGGCCGCCCUCGGCCCCAUCCGGCACCGCGGCUGGGUGCACGGCAGCACCAGGUGGUAUCAGCCCCGCACAAUCCCUGCUGAUGGACAUCAAUGCUCAUCACAGCGCCGGAAUUCACCGCAGACCAACCUGGGUGUGGAGCGCCAUCGGGGGUGGCCACCACCUCCCAAAAGGAGGAGUGCUCUUUGCAAGGAUUCCGUCACAUUGCUCACACUGGUGGCAAUUCACCGCGUGGGGUGGGGAGCACUCUGAGCCCCAAACUGAGCCCCAAACUGAGCCCUGAGCUGAGCCCCGUGGCUCUUUGGGCCCUCACACCACUCGUUUUGUAGCUGAAAGCAUCGCAUGCUCCAAGCCAGGAGCUCAGAGCUUUCCCAGAAACCCAAUGGAAGAUAUUCUUGGAUAAUUUAUUCAGAAUUUUAAUAUAAACCGUAAUUGCUCAACAUUCUGUCACACAGCAAGGUGCUCUCUUAACACUCAGCGAUGUGUUCUGUACACGUCACUGCUCGGCUCUUACAUAUAAAACACUGACAAAAUAAAGGGGAGGGUUUGGGUUUUUUUUUCUUUUUUUUUUUCUUUUUUUUUUAAAUCAUGGCACAUUCGAUCCUUUAUUUCAUACAAGAGGGGUCUGCAAUGCAACCUGCAAUGAGAUGUGCAAUGCGACCUGCAAUGCAACCUGCAAUGCAAUCUGCAAUGCAAUCUGCAAUGCAACCUGCAAUGCAAUCUGCAAUGCAACCUGCAAUGCGAUGUGCACACUGUGAGCUCGGAUGUGCAGUGAGGAAGGUGGGAGCAGCACGGUGAGCGUCCCAAAGCACUGCUGUUUGUGGGGCGGCUGCAGGCAGAGCAGUGUUUGCUUUGGGCUGCGUUGGAUGGAGCUGCAGCACAGCAUGCAUCCCUGGAGCCCUGCAGACUGUUGGACUCCGCCGCCCCACAAACAGCAGCGCUUUGCAAACAAAAGCAAAAUCGAUCACUGCUCGCCUUUCAAACAGCGUCCCUAAGAGUUGCUGCUUUGCAGGUGAUGGGAGAAGAGUUUGGAAGCAACGGCGGUUUGAAGCAAUAUGGAUUUGCAGGGAGAGUUUGGAGGAGAGCUUUGGGAAGAGGCCCGGCUCAGAACAUUGGGUAACAAAGAGCUCAAUGAGCGCCGGCAUUGGGGCUGCAAACCCAUCCCAUGCUGCAGUGAGAGCCGUCACGGGGUCAGCAGGGCUUUGCUGAGCGCCCCCCACCCACCCCCCACUCUGCAGCGCUGUACAAAAACCGUGGCCAUACCGUAGAGUUAAUACUAACUUUAUUAUACAAUAUUUAAAAAGUCAUUCCUCGACCCGUCCCCCAUCGCUUGCAUUGUGCUGCAGUUAUUUUGCUGAACCUGCAGGAGUAAGUGCUUACUUUUGAGGAGGACAAGCAAUUCCAUUUCAAAAAGAAAUGCACGUUGAAUGGCAGCAGAUCUGGUAAAACCGGCAGCCCCCAAAUGGCACUGAGGAGUCCCAUCCCUGCAGGCGUCCGUCUGAGCGGAGCCGCAGAGCCAAGCAGAAGGUGAGAAAAAGGCCAAAUUCAUUCAGUUCACGCAAAUGCUGAACGAAUCCUGCUGUGAAUUUCACCUCCCAACCCAUUCGGGAGCCCCUAUCCCGGCGCACAGCGGGGUGCUGUGCACGACGGCAUUCUCCUCCCUGACUCCAUGCGAGGUGCCAGGCCCACUCUUGGGUAUCGCUGCCGCCAGUGAUGGCUCGGGGCACCUCGGGGUCCGGAUCUGCAUCACAGCGAUGGCAAAGGGAACGUGAUGGGCCCUCAGCUGCCCCUACCAUGGGGGCUCGGGGGUGACUGCCACAGCCCCUUCCUGCUCCUGUUUGCUAUUCUCCUCCAUCACACUUCGGUCAGUAACACAGUAAGCAACUUUUUCCAAAGAGAUACCAACAUUAAAUGCAACAAAACUAAAAUUAAGCAAAGUGCCCCAUUACUAUAAUACAAAUUUAGGAGGAAAGAGAUCUACUACCCACAAAUUUCGAGUACCCUUAAGCAACCACUGAGCAGCCUCUUCCCUACGCGCGCAGCACAGAACACCCUCCUUGCAGCUUGGUCUAUUUCCUACCACGUUUCCCAACCCAGAGCUGGCACACGGUUUGCAUUAUCACACGAUGAGCUCUUCUAUUUUACAACACAAUCAGUAUUUACAAGCAGCCACGACGCGCUUUGAACCUCGCAGACGAGCUUUGCAAUGCUGCGCUGUACGGCAAGAGAAGUACCGGGUUUGCAAGAGGCGUUUAGGAGGCGGACACUGAAUGGAACACAAAUGUUUCUGGGACCUCUCCAGCCCCACACAACAACACCCGCUGACAGCGCAGAGCAAAGCAGUGCUGUGGCUUCCUGCUCGGCUGGCUUCAAAGCCGCAAUGCUGCGGCUGCUCCAGCACCUCUCGCUGCUCCCAUAGUGCCGUGGCUGCUCCCCAAUAGGCGCAGCUCUGUGCUGUGACACCAGCACUGCAGGCAGGCCCGGAGCGCCCUGCACCGUGCGGGGAGGGCCUCACGUGGCAGCUGGGAGCGGAGGGUUUUCCCAAACCCAGAGCCGGGCUCUGUGAUGACGUGACUUUGCUCUUCCUAAUUCCGCAGCUGAGCAUCAUCUUUUACAGCCACAAGUGGCAACCGCUGGGGCUGUUUGUUUCUGUCAGGGUGGAGCACUGUGGCUGAGGAUAUCCUCCGUUGGGCGCCCCGCGGUGCUCCUGGCCAGGAGCAAUGCAGGAAGGACAGCAGUGGGGCUGCCAUGCGCAGCAUUGGGUCCAACCACUGCUGCUCUCAGUGCGGAGACGACGACGUGAGCUGCACAGCGCGCCUGCAAAGCCCAACACACAGCCCUGCAUUGGGUGACCGGAGUGCUGCGUGUGCUCAGAGCCAACGGAUACCAGCCGAGCUGCAGAGCCAGAGCCAGCGCAGGCCCCAUGCAGACAGUGCUCUAUUGCUGCAGUUCAGAUCACUGCGAUUUGAGAUGUCAGAACAACGGCACACGGGGAGGGCUCACUGCAGGCAGCCACCGCCCCUCCAUCCACAACGUCCAUUUAAAUGGGUCUUUUUUAGUGUUUUUUGUUUUUUUCCUAAUCGCAACAGAAC